rnacentral:rRNA from 1 species
ACGGAGGGUGCAAGCGUUAAUCGGAAUUACUGGGCGUAAAGCGCACGCAGGCGGUUUGUUAAGUCAGAUGUGAAAUCCCCGGGCUCAACCUUGGAACUGCAUUGGAUACUGGUAAGCUUGAGUCUCGUAGAGGGGGGUGGAAUUCCUGGUGUAGCGGUGAAAUGCGUAGAGAUCUGGAGGAAUACCGGUGGCGAAGGCGACCCCCUGGACGAAGACUGACGCUCAGAUGCGAAAGCGUGGGGAGCAAACAG